UACGUAGGGUGCGAGCGUUGUCCGGAAUUACUGGGCGUAAAGAGCUCGUAGGUGGUUUGUCGCGUUGUUCGUGAAAACUCACAGCUUAACUGUGGGCGUGCGGGCGAUACGGGCAGACUGGAGUACUGCAGGGGAGACUGGAAUUCCUGGUGUAGCGGUGGAAUGCGCAGAUAUCAGGAGGAACGCCGGUGGCGAAGGCGGGUCUCUGGGCAGUAACUGACACUGAUGAACGAAAGCCAGGGGAGCAAACGGG
rnacentral:rRNA from 1 species